AGUAAAGUGCCUGAUUAAAGGAUAAUUUUGAUAGAAUUAAUAAAGUGACCCCCGCCACCUUUGCUA
rnacentral:tRNA from 1 species